rnacentral:tRNA from 1 species
GCCUGAGUGGCUCAGUUGGUUAAGUAUCUGACUUUGGCUCAGGUCAUAAUCUCACAGAUUGUGGGUCUGAGCCCCGCAUCAGGCU